rnacentral:rRNA from 1 species
GAUGAACGCUGACAGAAUGCUUAACACAUGCAAGUCUUUGGCGAAGCUGUGCUCGCACAGCCUAGCCAAGGCGGACGGGUGAGUAACGCGUAAGGAACUUGCCCUGCAGUCAGGAUAACAGACGGAAACGACUGAUAAGACCUGGUAAAGUCAGGCGGACUCAUGUCCAGCCUGAUGAAAAGAGAUGCUGCAGGAGAGCCUUGCGUCCUAUUAGCUUGUUGGAGGGGUAACGGCCCACCAAGGCGAUGAUAGGUAGCCGGCCUGAGAGGGUGGACGGCCACAAGGGGACUGAGAUACGGCCCUUACUCCUACGGGAGGCAGCAGUGGGGAAUAUUGGACAAUGGGGGCAACCCUGAUCCAGCAAUUCUGCGUGCACGAUGAAGGUUUUCGGAUUGUAAAGUGCUUUCAGCAGGGAAGAAAAAAAUGACGGUACCUGCAGAAGAAGCGACGGCUAAAUACGUG